rnacentral:rRNA from 1 species
UACGUAGGGGCCGAGCGUUGUCCGGAGUUAUUGGGCGUAAAGCGCGCGCAGGCGGCUUCGCGCGCCCGCCGUGAAAGCCCCCGGCUUAACCGGGGAGAGUCGGUGGGGACGGCGGAGCUUGAGGGCGGGAGAGGUCGGUGGAAUUCCCGGUGUAGUGGUGAAAUGCGUAGAGAUCGGGAGGAACACCUGUGGCGAAGGCAGCCUCCUGGGCCAGCACUGACGCUCAUGCACGAAAGCGUGGGGAGCAAACAGG